ensembl:lncRNA
UUAAGUUCCCAAUGAACUGCGAGGAAGACCUUCAAAGGGUCGAGGAUCUUCUGAGGGAGAAAUCCCAGGAAAAGGCCCUGGCAGCACACCUUAGUGCGCUUGGGGGCUGCAAUCCUGGUGACGCGGUUCGAAGAAUCCUUCGCCACAUCCUCACCAACCACUUCGCGCUGAAAUUCAACUGGCUUGGCAGAGGAGGGAAGAAGCUGGCUUUUGCCUCCUACAAGGUGUGCAAUGCAGUAAGAGGUGCAUCGGCUAGCCAGAACAUUUCGGCCAGCGACUGCGAGGCAGUUAUUAAAAACUGGCUGAAGUGCAGCGGUGACCGGAGUGGAGGAAGAAAGAGGAGAGAAAGCAGAGUGCAUGAAGGUCCCCAGCAGUUCAGUCUUCCUCCUCCGAGUGCUUCACCGGUCAUCCUGGAUGAUACAACUAGCAGCGACAGUGACGACGACUGCAGCAGCCUGGAGUGACCCGCCUUCCGCCUGCACACCGACUCGGA